UAGGUUUUAGCUUAUGUGCAGAGCGUCUGUUUGUUAAUCAGAAGGAAUAGGGACUAUAGACUUAG
rnacentral:tRNA from 1 species